rnacentral:lncRNA from 1 species
CCAUCAAUAUCAUUUCAAGAUGUCCUGGUUUGGGUGGAAGUUGCACAUACCAAAUUUCAGUAAUUCUAACACCAAUCUUCCACAGGUGUUUUGAAUCAUUCAAAUCUUUUAUAAGCUCGAACGGGCGUGAUAUUGACAUUAAUACAAUACAAACUAAAUAAUAAUAAUAAUAAAAAGGAUAAACAACAUUUCAGUAAAACAUAUAGGAGCAUAAGUUAUAGAAACAAUGAUAUUGUAGUAAUGUAAAAAAUGUUAAGGUCAUUUUUUCAGAGGUGAGCAUAUAAGUAUGCUACCACAUAUUAUACAGACCUUGUUAUUAUAGAAGACUUGUCUCUCUGCAUAAGACUCAACUUUAUCUAUCACUAAGAUAUUCAAGAGUGUGAUAAUCAAACAGGAAACAUAUAAAAUUACAAUAUGAAAGAAAUAAC